UACGGAGGGGGCGAGCGUUGUCCGAAGUUACUGGGCGUAAAGGGCGCGUAGGCGGGUCGGUAAGUCUGCUGUGAAAGCCCGGGGCUCAACCCCGGAGGGUCGGUGGAUACUAUCGGUCUUGAAGGUGCUAGGGGGAGAUGGAAUUACCGGUGUAGCGGUGAAAUGCGUAGAUAUCGGUAGGAACACCAGUGGCGAAGGCGGUCUCCUGGGGCACUCUUGACGCUGAGGCGCGAAAGCUGGGGGAGCGAACGGG
rnacentral:rRNA from 1 species